AGAUGAUCUUAUGAAAUGGGUUCGCGACAUUUCUAUGGCAAAUAAUUUUGUUUUGGUGACAACAAAGUCUGAUAGUGGUGCGAAGGGAAGAAAAGAAUAUGUCAUUCUGGGGUGUGAGAAGCAUGGUGCGUAUAUUCCCUACAGAGAACCGGAUCUUGUUGAAGGAACGUCAACACAAAAGACAGGUUGUCCUUUUAGGCUAAAAGGACGACGUACGAAAGAUGAUAAAGGUUGGUGGUUGAAGGUGAUGGACGGUAGACACAUCCAUCUCGCAGCUGAGUCACUAGUUGGCCACAAUUACGCUGGUAGACUGAAUAGUGAGGCGAAGGAGGACGUGAUAAAUCAGGCUAAGACUUGGGUUCCACCUAGAAAGAUGUUGGCGUCCUUGAAGGAAAAAGAUCCUUCAAACUUGACUACCAUCCAACAAAUUUAUAGUGUUUGCAAGCGGUUCAGACAAUCCGUUCGUGGGUCACUGACAGAGAUACAAUACUUGCUGAAGAAGUUGGACGGUGAGAAGUAUGUUCACUUCGAACGAAAUGAACCCGGAUCGGAAGUGAUUAGAGAUAUAUUUUGGGCUCAUCCGAAUGCCGUCAAACUUUUCAACACAUUCCCAUAUGUAGUGAUCAUGGAUUGCACAUACAAGACCAGCAAAUACAAACUACCCUUGCUCGAGAUUGUUGGCCUGACCUCCACGGAUAAAACAUACUCAAUAGCAUUCUGUUACAUUGGCAGUGAGACCACAGAGGACUACAUUUGGGCAUUGGAGUGUAUGAAGUCUCUGAUUUCCGACCAAUCCAGGUUGCCUAGAGUGAUUGUGACGGAUAGAGAUCUUGCUUUAUUGAGUGCUGCUUCACAAAGCCUUCCCACCACCACCCAUUUACUAUGCUUGUGGCACAUCAACAAGUGUGUUUUGGCAAAGUGCAAAGAGUAUGUUGGCACGGAUGAUUUUGCUCAAGAGGUUAUGGACAAGUGGGCCGAAUUGGUAGAUGCUCCAACAGUUCCAGAAUUUGAAGCUCAUUGGAUUGAAUUGUUUAACAUGUGCAAGCAUAAACACAAGUUGAAAUUUGCCACUUAUUGUUCUACUACAUGGUUGGUCCACAAGCAGAAAUUUGCCAAGGCAUGGACAAAUCAUGUGAUGCAUUUUGGAACAACAACAAGUAACAGGGCUGAAGGUGCACAUGCCAGCUUGAAGUUGAUGUUGCGGAACAGUAAGGGUGACCUGGCCACAUCAUGGAAUGCGUCGCAUAGUUUGACCACCAAUCGCCACACUGAGAUAGUAGCAUCGUUUGAGCGCAGUAUGAAUAAAAUUGAUCACCUUUUCAAGACCCCUUUCUACACAAAUAUUAGGGGAUUUGUGUCAAUCAAAUGCCUGAAACUCAUUGAUGCUGAACUGACAAGAAUGCGAGCCUGCGGCGGCAGAUGCGAUUGCUUAUUGAGAGAGACUCAUGGACUACCUUGCGGUUGUCAACUUGCAGAUUAUGAGAGGAUUCCGUACGAGGCCAUUCAUCCAUUCUGGAAGAGCCUAAGUUGGGAGCAUGUACCUGUUGCAGAUACUGGCAGCUCAGAUAUUUGCGGACUAAACCAUGGAGAGAUGCACCCAGAAGUUGAGGCACUGACACGUUAUUUCCAUUCUUUGGAUACUGGAGGGCAGAGUAUGGUAAGGAGGAAGCUUCAAGCGAUAUAUUGUCCUGAAAGGAGUACACUAUGUACUCCUGAGCUUCGGAUAAAGUCCAACCGCACUCCUAAGUUGAAAGAGAGCAAACAACCCAAGGGUCGAGCAAUAGGAUCCUUGACUCGUGAUCCUUCAGCGUUUGAACUUACAGACAAGAAGAUUAAAGAGGAAAAGAAGUCUUCACAACCAGCAAAGAGGAAGAAGCGUGUGAAGAAGUCUGAUACAAGCCAUUUCAUGUGUAACUUUCCAGCCUUUCUCCAUCCAUAUAUUGGCACAAUUACAGAUGUUGAGGAUGAUGGUAACUGUGGCUAUAGAUCCAUUGCUGCAUUAAUGGGGCAUUCCGCCGGUCAGGACGGUUGGCCUUGGGUUAGGGCUACAUUGAUACAAGAACUUGAGACCAAUGUGGUAAUGUAUAAUAGGAUGUGGGGCACAGAUGUUGUUUAUGGCUUACAUAAUCGUCUCACUCUUCCUAUUGGUGACCCGGCCACCCCUGACAAAUGGUUUCAACUGCCAGAGAUGGGAUACCUUGUUGCCACAAAGUACCAAUUGGUUCUCGUAUCCUUAUCCUCUAUGGGUUGUAACACAUACUUUCCACUGAUAGGAGCCGACCCACGAGAUGAGCAUUCUGUUAUAGCUAUUGGACAUGUGAUAAAUCACUGGGUACAGGUAUAUUUUGACCAAAUACACUAAUAUUUUAGUUGCCUACUAGCUUGUCGAUUAAUUUUUGUAUGUGGAAGUUAUCUAAUUUUAUGGUUAUUCUCUAAAAUGCAGCUCCAAUUAACUCCUGGACAUCCUAUGCCGACUAUUGCUCCCCAGUGGGAAUGGCACAGUGAUCUUGCCUCCAAAUACUGGCGCAACCUAUAUGGUCCACGUUUAGGCAUGUAUGAUGCACAAUUCCAAGCUUGGCUUGGUGCUUUUAGUGGUCAUGCGGACUAUGUGGACAUCACCACAGAUUGAAUGUUCUUGUAUUGUGCAAUAUUAAUUUGUAAACUCUCUGUAAUUUGGUAGAAUGUGGCCCUUAUCACAGGUUGUUGUUAAUGAUGAAAAUCUAGACAUCAUCGUAGAUUGGCAGGUUCAUGCGUGUACUUUUGGUAAUGUUAAUUUGAUGCACUUUUGGUAAUGUUAAUUUGAUGCACUUUUGGUAAUGUUAAUUUGAUGUACUCUUGUCAUUUUCAUUUUCAUUACCCUCCACCACCAACCCUGACAUUACUCUCAACCACCAGCCCCAACCACUCUUCUACCAUCCACCAGUACACCUUAAAUGUUUUGACCGCACGCCUGAGCUAUAAAUAUAUGUUGUGUCUUGCCUCUUCUUCUUACUCUUCAUUCCUCAUCUUCCUGUCUAUUGUGUCUUGCCUCUUCUUAUUACUCCUCUUUCUACACGAUGGAACAAGACCCAAAUCCAUUCCUCCGCCAUUGCAAAGGUCAAAGCAACAACUCUGGCAGCUCUCGUCCUCUCAUUCCUGGCCCGGCUGGCGCCAUCCAGGCUGCCAUGUAUGCCCGUAGAUCCACCCCUAACACACCACUCAUUCCGACCCAGGAAAUCGUGAGGCGUGUGCUAGAUCAUGGAUCAACCGAAACCGAUCCUGAUUUCAACUCACAUGCUUGGCUAUCAGCCCUGCAAGAGUGGGGAAUAGCCACUCCGCUGGGCUCUCUGACAGCGAACGUUGAGAGGGUGGAGAAUGUUGUUGCUGUUAUCAAAUCUUGCACUCCCAAUGGGUUUGGAGAUGCGAAAGUUACCCUCAAGGACCCCACGGGUGCUGUUGAUGCUAGCAUCCACCGCAAGGCAUUUACUCACAGUGAAUUUGCGAAUGACAUAACUGUUGGAUCUGUUCUCGUUCUCCAAAAGGUUGCUGUGUUUGCACCUAGAGGAACUGUUUGUUAUCUUAAUAUAACAUUGCCCAACCUAGUGAAGGUAUUCCCAAAAGAUUGCGGACCCCAUGACUUCAUCGAUAUCACAGAGGAAUAAUUUUGUUUUCGGUGUUGCUUAUGUUUAAUUUGGUUGUGUAACCGUUUAACUUAUUGUCAUGGAUUACUACAUGCUUUGAAUUAUUUAUAUGUUGUCGUUGUUUCUGUUUUUUUCAUUAUAAGAGUCAUAAUAUUAAGACUAAAAAUAUAACACAUGUAAAUAAAACGAGGCAAGAGUCAUAACAUAACAUAAAAAGUCCUAACAUAUACAUAAUAAUGGAUCCCACAUAACAAGUGUAAUAAAAUCACUCUCCCCGACCCCGCCCCCUGCGACCUCUGGGUCCACGAGCUCGACCUCCACGAACACCCUCUCCAGGAUCACCCUCUCCACGAGCUCUGCCUCCACGAGCUCCGCCUCCACGGGGUCUGCCUCCACGAGCUCUGCCUCCACGAGCUCUGCCUCCCGCAGCUGCGGCUCCUCGAAUAGCAGAAAAGGCAACUCCCUGGGUACCAACGAAGGAACUCCGUCGAAAGAGAUCGAGCGCCCUCUCCGUGAGGAUCCGGGGCUGUGUCCCUGGAGCAAGAGCACCUGGCACCUCCAGGGACUGCUCCAACAACUCCACACCCCUACGUAUGGCAGACUGCAUAAAAAUAAUAUACAAAAAUAAUUUCAUUAACAAA